GAAACCACAAUUUAAUUUGUACUACUUUCCGCUAGGCGAUGUCAAAUAUGUGAAAAAACACAAUUUUUGGGGUUAGGAUGCCCAUAACCCGAGAAUUUCCAAAAAUCAAGCUUAUCACCCAAACUAUUCUUUAUCAGUGACCUAUUUGCCAUAGAUUCCAGCAAUAACAUUUUGUCGACCUACCCGUUCCCACGCCUUGUUUCAUAGCGA